CUCUCGGCCUUAGCGCCAUCUUCUUGGAAACUUCUGCACCAUGAGAGCCAAGCAGAGAAAGAAGUGAAUGCGCAGGCUGAAACGCAAAAGAAGAAAGGUGAGGCAGAGGGCCAAGUAAACUGCUAGCUUGUGCACCCGCGGAGGCCACAGCAGCAGAAACAUGAAGUGCCAGAGGCUGGGGAUGCUGGCACAAGUUGUUGGACUGCAUGCUACUGUCUAGAGCUUGUCUCAAUGGAUCUAGAACUUUCAUUGCCAUCUGAUCGCUGAGACCACCUCUGAGACCCACCUUGCUCAUAAUCAAAACUGUCCAUCUUGGUCCUUUGCCCUGGAACUGUGACAUUCUGUACUACUU
rnacentral:lncRNA from 1 species